rnacentral:tRNA from 1 species
GCCACCUUAGCUCAGCUGGCAGAGCAGCCGCCUUGUAAGCGGCAGGUCGCGAGUUCGAAUCUCGCAGGUGGCU